GACGAACGCUGGCGGCGUGCUUAACACAUGCAAGUCGAACGGAAAGGCCCUGCUUUUGUGGGGUGCUCGAGUGGCGAACGGGUGAGUAACACGUGAGUAACCUGCCCUUGACUUUGGGAUAACUUCAGGAAACUGGGGCUAAUACCGGAUAGGAGCUCCUGCUGCAUGGUGGGGGUUGGAAAGUUUCGGCGGUUGGGGAUGGACUCGCGGCUUAUCAGCUUGUUGGUGGGGUAGUGGCUUACCAAGGCUUUGACGGGUAGCCGGCCUGAGAGGGUGACCGGCCACAUUAGGACUGAGAUACGGCCCAGACUCCUACGGGAGGCAGCGGUGGGGAAUAUUGCACAAUGGGCGGAAGCCUGAUGCAGCAACGCCGCGUGCGGGAUGACGGCCUUCGGGUUGUAAACCGCUUUCGCCUGUGACGAAGCGUGAGUGACGGUAAUGGGUAAAGAAGCACCGGCUAACUACGUG
rnacentral:rRNA from 1 species